GGGGGGGGGGGGGGGGGGGGGGGGGGGGGGGGGGGGGGGGGGGGGGCGGGGGGUGGGGUCCUUCGGGGCUGGGUGGUUUGUGACUGCGUGGCGGACGGGUGAGUGACGCGUGGGUAACCGGCCUUGUACGGGGGGGUAACAGGUGGGAACGGCUGCUACUACCGCAUAGGCGCCCAGCAUCGCCUGAUGCCGGGGGAAAAACUCGGGUGGGAGAAGAUGGACCCGCGUUGGAUUAGCUAGUUGGUGAGUUAACGGCCCACCAAGGCGACGAUCCAUAGCCGACCUGAGAGGGUGACCGGCCACAUUGGGACUGAGACACGGCCCAAACUCCUACGUGAGGCAGCAGUGGGGAAUAUUGCACAAUGGGCGAAAGCCUGAUGCAGCGACGCCGCGUGAGCGAAGAAGUAUUUCGGUAUGUAAAGCUCUAUCAGCAGGGAAGAUAAUGACGGUACCUGACGAAGAAGCACCGGCUAAAUACGUG
rnacentral:rRNA from 1 species